GAGUUUCUCAGAUGGCAAGCAGGGAGGGACAAACAGAACUGCCUCAUCGAAGUCCUCUGGCAACCAGGCACCAUCAGGACAGCACGUGGUAUAGAUCACUCGAGGUGACCACUGGGCAUAAGCCGGAGAAACAGCAGAGUCGGGCCUGGGAGGCAGAUCUGGUGAGUGUCUGCUGGGCUGCAGGGCCUGCUGGUGACAGCUGCCCCUGCAGACUGUUUCCAGGAGACCCAGAAGCCCAGGGCAGGCAGGAGGAUCUGCGAGGGGCACCAGCUUGGGAGUUGGGUGCCCAGGGACUCCCUGCGAUCGAUGACAGCAGACUGAGGGGCAGCCGCAAAACAGCUGGAACAAACCAAGGCCAAAUGUUAACUGCCUCUGGCAGCUUCCCCUCUUGGGCCUCUCUCUCAGGCCCCAGAAACGCUGAAAGUUCACGUUGUAAAAUCCCAGUCCCAGAGCCAUGAAGCAUCAUUUCCAGCUCGAAGGAGACACCCAACCCAGCCUAAUACCGAUGGAUUCCUGGGCAUACAUUCAUCAGGAAAGCACCCCUCUCUGCCUGCCCUCCACCUCAGGGGCUUUCACUUCCACUCUCCUCUGACUGGCCCGUGAGUGGUGUUCCACAUCAACGAUCCAGAAGGUUCUAAGGAAGAUCUGGAUCUUCUCCGGAACUGGAGGUUACUGGCAGCUAGUUCUGGGCUCCUGAUCCAAAGGAGCUGGGGGUAGGUUUUAGUGCCUGAGGUGGAGACCAGAAGACCUCUCACAUCCAACAACCACAAGCCAGGGAUUCCUAGAGAGAGCAGAAGCAACCUGAGCCGUGACCUGCCGAUACGUGUCACUUUUGGGAUUUGUCCCCCCAGAAGAAGCUACCUAGAGCCUGUCCUUUCAAAAGGCUUGUUCUCCUCUCUUUCAUGAAAACCCAUAUUCAAACAUGGGACUUGGUGUCACAGACACAUUAUGAAGGGCCCCUCUGCUUUGCAAACUCCUCACUAAAGGACUUUUUUAGACUGUCAGAUACCCACCCCCCAUCUCAGCCAGUGAGAAGGCAAAAGAAGGUAGAAGUUGAGUCUCUGACAGGAGAAUCUUACAGCAUGAGGCUCAUUCCUAACUUUCCACUGACUAGCUGCGUGACCGUAAGCAAGCUACCUCUGUCCUCUCUGUUUCUGCAUCUGGUAAAUGGGGGACAACUGCCUCAGAAGGUCAGUCUGAGGACCAAGUGAGAUCAUCCACGCAGAGCAUUAAGCACAGUGCCAGGCACGCAGUAAGCUCUUGGAAAGCUUUGCUGUGACUUAAAUUGUGAUUUUUAAGACCAAUGACCAAUCUAUAUACUUGGUCUAGGGAAGGAACAAGGUCGAAUAGCCUGGCCACUUACCACGUAGAAAACGAACUGAUUUAGCCUGAGAAGAUGCUGAGCAAAUGGUUCAUUUCAACAUUUUAUCACAUUGAACAUCUUAUGAUCUCCAAAUCUCCUCUGGAGUUGGAUCAUUAAAAACGACCAGAAUAGCAAGGCAACAUAGCAGACCCUUAAAUAUUGUGCAUUUGUGGGGAAAGAAAAUAAAGGAAUUAAG
rnacentral:lncRNA from 12 species